AACGAACGCUGGCGGCAGGCUUAACACAUGCAAGACGAGCGCCCCGCAAGGGGAGCGGCAGACGGGUGAGUAACGCGUGGGAAUCUACCGUGCCCUACGGAAUAACGCAUGGAAACGUGUGCUAAUACCGUAUACGCCCUACGGGGGAAAGGUUUAUCGGGGUAUGAUGAGCCCGCGUUGGAUUAGCUAGUUGGUGGGGUAAAGGCCUACCAAGGCGACGAUCCAUAGCUGGUCUGAGAGGAUGAUCAGCCACAUUGGGACUGAGACACGGCCAAAACUCCUUGGGUAGGGAGCAAUGAGGAAUAGUGGACAAUGGGCGCACGCCAGUGCCAGGCAUGCCGCGUGAGUGAUGAAGGUCUGUAGAUUGUAAAGCUCUUUCCCCGGUGAAGAUAAUGACGGUAACCGGAGAAGAAGCCCCGGCUAACUUCGUGCCAGCCGCCGCCGUAACAC
rnacentral:rRNA from 1 species